rnacentral:rRNA from 1 species
GACAGAGGUCCCGAGCGUUGUUCGGAUUCAUUGGGCGUAAAGGGUGUGUAGGAGGCUAGGUAAGUCAGGUGUGAAAUCUCAGAGCUUAACUCUGAAACUGCGCUUGAUACUGCUUGGCUAGAGGAUCGGAGGGGGUAUCGGAAUUUAUGGUGUAGCAGUGAAAUGCGUAGAUAUCAUAAGGAACACCGGUGGCGAAGGCGGAUACCUGGAAGACUCCUGACUCUGAAACACGAAAGCCAGGGGAGCAAACGGG